AUAUCCAAGCGUCUUGGAGGAUGUAGGGAUUAUGAGAGGUUAGCAGCAGAGUAUAGUUAAAACAAAAUAUGUUCGUGAACCAACGAACUGUUUAACUAGUACUGAAAAUGAAAUCAAUGCAGAUCAUAGUAGGCAUAGGUUUACGAAAGAAAAAGAGGAAUCAGUUUGUUGAUGUGUUUUGAGAAGAAUAAACGUGCUCUUAUAAUGAUGAAGAAAGUGUUAAUUAUUUAGUCUAACUCGAUUGAAAUUCUAAGGGAAGCGUGAUCGGGAAAGUGUCUGAAUUCGGCUACUUAAAAAGGUCUAGUCACUACAUGGCGCAUCUGCUCCCAGAGGUGGGAGAAAUAACGUGUGCAAAUCUGAGGACCUGUUAGGAAAUGUCCGUUUUUUGAUUUUGCUUGUUAAUUAGUGGGGAUUUGAAAAUGAAAUGGAUCCUGAAAUUAUCCGUUACAAUGAACAAUUUUCAGUGUUAUUUGCCUCAGGUGAUCGUGUGUUAAAUGGAUAUACCCAAUGAAGAAAGUAAUGCGUGCUUUGAAAAGAUUGACUCCAAGGAUUUUUUUCACGAGCAUGCACGUGGGUGACGAAAAACCGAAUGCUUGCAACCGUUUAUUAUAUCCUGUUUGUCUAAGGUAGGUGUUGUAAAAAAAAAACUUCGAUAAUGUGUGCGCUUAAAUAAUUAGUGAAGAUAAUGAGGAUUUUAUACAAAAUGGACCAAUGCAAGCGUUCACUGUUUGAAGUUUUAGCGGUGCCGUGUGGCCAUGGCAACCACUGAAUAUGGCGACACUCAAACGCCAAUUUAGUAAACACGUGCAUUUAUUAAUACUGCAAGUAUCACGGUCUACUAUGUUAAUAAAAAAAGGCACAAAUGUUUGAUUCCUGACACUAGUUGACCAAAACAACCCAACAAUGAUUGGACAAAUAACUUCCGCUCACUUAAUAACCAACUGUAUUCUGUCAAUGCGAGCAGCGUUGUGAGCUUUUUGAAGUUUAUAUGGUCGAGUUUGCAACUUUGGAAUUGUUAGAGUUUUAGUAAGCAUAAUUUAAUCAUUAAAGAUAUAAUUAAAAAUAUGAAUAUAUUUGAAAGUUAUUAAAAGUUGUAAGUGUAAAUAAAGAAACGGUUAAUAAAUGGUUAUAUAACGCGUUUGAAUCAAUGUUUUCUAGAAAGGACAAAGAUCUUUGUCAAUUUUGUGUGCAGUAAUAUAGUACUAUUCUAUGCAGAUUUAUUUGAAAUCGUCAAUCAACUCUAGGACAUUUGCUUUUAAGAAGGCCACGACGUUUUCUUGUUUCAGCUCUCUGGUGAACACCAUUCGAAAAAAAAAGGUAAAAAAACAAUUCUUAAAGUAUCUUGGCAUGGCCUACUGCUUGACUUUUAAACCAUAGACAAAUACCGUUUUCCAAGACAACUAGUAUUGAUAUAAAAAAAAGUUUAAUUUAUCUGUACGGGAUGCAUUUGUACCUGAAGUAAGCGGAAUGUUACGUGACUUACAAGUAUUUGAAUUGCUAUUUGCUGAUAAAAUUAAGAAAUGAUUUACGGUUUCAAAUUUGAUAUUUCUUGAAUUGAGAUGGUUUAGAUAUGGCUUGAAAGAAAUAAAAAUCUAUGCAUAUUCGAUGGUAAUUUUGAUCAUUUUUUAUAAUGUUUUCUAUACCCACUUAAGUAUGAGUGCAUGUGGGUAAUAAGAAAUAAGAAUGUAACCAAUAUAUAAGUUCAAAAUUGAAAGUAGCAAGAAAUACAUAGAGAGUCCCCUAGGAUAGCAUAAAUUAGAUGAGCCCCCUCUGAGGGUAAGAUAAAAGAAAAAUAGUCUAAUGAGGGUCAACACAAACCAAGAACCCUGAAAGGGUAAGCUAAAGGAGCGUGUACCCAAAAGGGUUACUCAGUGAAAGCGAGACACCUGAAAAACGAAAUCCAUUGAGAGGAUAAGCUACGAAACAAAAGUCUCCAGAAAGAGAAAACUACAAAGAAUAAAUCUCCUGAGAGGGUAAGCUAACAAGCGAGUUUCCCGAGAGGGCUGUUUUUGUUCAAAGCGGGUUUCCUGAAAAAGAAUCUGAUAAAAGUAAGUCCCCUGAGAGGUUAACUGGCAAAAUAGAUUUUUUUUUAGAGAGUUACUAUGAAAAGCGUGUAUUUUGAGAGGAUAGUUAACACAAACUUUAAAGAGACUAUAAGCUACAUAAAAUAUACCUAACACAAAUUGUAUAUAAUGAGAGGGUAAUUUAGAUAAAGUGAGUAUCGUGAAAGGGAAGUGGAGAAAAACGAGACUUGUAAAAAGAUAACAUAAAUAAUGCGAAUACCCGAAUUGUUAAGUGCCAAAGUGAGUUUUCUGACAUAGUCACUGUUAAAGCGAGAGCCCUGAGGGAAUAGCUAUCACAAAACAAUUCUUCGAAGUAAGUAAUCCUAAACAGCGGGUACUCUGAGAAAAUAUCUUACAGAAAGCGAGUUUCUAUUUUUCCGAAGUAGCAUGUAAAAAAUAAAUAAUCAGAAAAAUAUGAUUAGAAUGUAUAAAGCGAUUUAUGCUAUUGAAACUUUAGAAUAUUUCGAUCUCUUACACUCACUUUAAUGUUAUGAGCAUGGAACACUUUUGCCACAGUAGUAUUUUUGUAACAUAUAUAGCCAGUAACACAGAAUCAGAAUAGGGUAAAGAGCGUAAAAAACACUCUUUUCAAAGUAGUACCCAGUAACAGUAACCAGUAACAUAGAAUUAGAAUGUGUAAAGCACUUGGUGGUUCUUAAAUUUCAGAAGAUUUCAAUCUCUAGUGCUCACAUUGAUGUUAUAAGCCUUGAAAAUAGAUAUAGAAAAUAGAAGCUAAAAGGUUUUAUUGUUUAAAAAAAAAUAAAUAAAAUCAAUGUAUAAUCUAUGCUUAUGUAUAAAAGUUUUUUAAUUUGCUUUGUCAGGUUAAGUCUGAGUGAAGUUAAAAACAAAUUAAAAAAGGUAAUAAAUGAAUUGAAUAUGAUAAAUAAAAAGUAGUUUGACUGUUCCGAAAAAGUCAACUAAAAGAAUAGCCAAGUUAAAACGAGUCCUCUGAGAGAGUAUGCUAUGGGUGUGCCGGUUCCUCGAGAGGAAAUCUAAGUCCCCUGAGAGGGUAAAUGACAGAAAAUGCAAGUCCCCUGAGAGGGUAAGUUACAAAUGACAGAAAAUGCAAGUCUCCUGAGAGGGUAAGUUACAAAAGAGCAAGUUAGUUAGAAAAACGAGUCCCCUGAAAGGGUAGCUAACAGAAAGUGAGUCCCCUGAGAGGGUAAGUCCCCUGAGAGCGUAAGGUACAAAAGAGAAAGAGAUUUAGAAAAGCGAGUCCCCUGAGAGGGUAGCUAACAGAAAGUGAGUCCACUGAGAGGGUAAAUGACAGAAAAUGCAAGUCCCCUGAGAGGGUAAGUUACAAAAAAGCAAGUUAGUUUGCAAAGCGAGUCCCCUGAGAGGGUACUUAACAAAAAGUGAGUCCUCUGAGAGGGUAAGCUAAGAAAAUUUCAAGUCCCCUGAGAGGGUAAGGUACAAAAGAGCAAGAGAUUUAGAAAAGCGAGUCCCCUGAGAGGGUAGCUAACAGAAAGUGAGUCCCUGAGAGGGUAGCUAACAGAAAGUAAGUCCCCUGAGAGGGUAAGCUAAGAAAAUUUCAAGUCCCCUGAGAGAGUAAGAUACAAAAGAGCAAGAGAUUUAGAAAAGCGAGUCCCCUGAGAGGGUAAGCUAAGAAAAUUUCAAGUCCCCUGAGAGGGUAAGUUACAAAAGAGCAAGUUAGUUAGAAAAGCGAGUCCCCUGAGAAAGUAGCUAAUAGAAAGUGAUUCCCUUGAGAGGGUAGGCUAAGAAAAUGUCAAGUCCCCUGAGAGGGUAAGGUACAAAAGAGCAAGAGAUUUAGAAAAGCGAGUCCCCUGAGAGGGUAGCUAACAGAAAGUAAGUCCCCUGAGAGGGUAAGCUAAGAAAAUUUCAAGCCCCCUGAGAGGGUGAGGUACAAAAGAGCAAGAUAUUUAGAAAAGCGAGUCCCCUGAGAGGGUAGCUAACAGAAAGUAAGUCCCCUGAGAGGGUAAGCUAAGCAAAUUUCAAGUCCCCUGAGAGGGUAAGGUAAAAAAGAGCAAGAGAUUAAGAAAAGUGAGUCCCCUGAGAGGGUAAGCUAAGAAAAUUUCAAGUCCCCUGAGAGGGUGAGGUACAAAAGAGCAAGAUAUUUAGAAAAGCGAGACCCCUGAGAGGGUAGCUAACAGAAAGUGAGUCCCCUGAGAGGGUAAACGACAGAAAAUACAAGUCCCCUGAGAGGGUAAGUAACAAAAGAGCAAGUUAGUUAGAAAAGCGAGUCCCCUGAGAGGGUAGCUAACAGAAAGUGAUUCCCUUGAGAGGGUAGGCUAAGAAAAUUUCAAGUCCCCUGAGAGGGUAAGGUACAAAAGAGCAAGAGAUUUAGAAAAGCGAGUCCCCUGAGAGGGUAGCUAACAGAAAGUAAGUCCCCUGAAAGGGUAAGCUAAGCAAAUUUCAAGUCCCCUGAGAGGGUAAGGUACAAAAGAGCAAGAGAUUAAGAAAAGUGAGUCCCCUGAGAGGGUUAGCUAAGAAAAUUUCAAGUCCCCUGAGAGGGUGAGGUACAAAAGAGCAAGAUAUUUAGAAAAGCGAGUCCCCUGAGAGGGUAGUUAACAGAAAGUGAGUCCCCUGAGAGGGUAAACGACAGAAAAUGCAAGUCCCCUGAGAGGGUAAGUUACAAAAGAGCAAGUUAGUUAGAAAAGCGAGUCCCCUGAGAGGGUAGCUAACUGAAAGUGAUUCCCUUGAGAGGGUAGGCUAAGAAAAUUUCAAGUCCCCUGAGAGGGUAAGGUACAAAAGAGCAAGAGAUUUAGAAAAGCGAGUCCCCUGAGAGGGUAGCUAACAGAAAGUAAGUCCCCUGAGAGGGUAAGCUAAGCAAAUUUCAAGUCCCCUGAGAGGGUAAGGUACAAAAGAGCAAGAGAUUAAGAAAAGUGAGUCCCCUGAGAGGGUAAGCUAAGAAAAUUUCAAGUCCCCUGAGAGGGUGAGGUACAAAAGAGCAAGAUAUUUAGAAAAGCGAGUCCCCUGAGAGGGUAGCUAACAGAAAGUGAGUCCCCUGAGAGGGUAAACGACAGAAAAUGCAAGUCCCCUGAGAGGGUAAGUUACAAAAGAGCAAGUUAGUUAGAAAAGCGAGUCCCCUGAGAGGGUAGCUAACAGAAAGUGAUUCCCUUGAGAGGGUAGGCUAAGAAAAUGUCAAGUCCCCUGAGAGGGUAAGGUACAAAAGAGCAAGAGAUUUAGAAAAGCGAGUCCCCUGAGAGGGUAGCUAACAGAAAGUAAGUCCCCUGAGAGGGUAAGCUAAGCAAAUUUCAAGUCCCCUGAGAGGGUAAGGUACAAAAGAGCAAGAGAUUAAGAAAAGUGAGUCCCCUGAGAGGGUAAGCUAAGAAAAUUUCAAGUCCCCUGAGAGGG